UUUCCUUCAGGAUAGCUGCUGCUCUUGUAGUCACAUAGUUUUAUGCAGCAUAGUAGGUGACCAGAGGUCUUGGAGAGGGAACUGCCUCAGCCUUCCUCUCAUUCAUUAAAGGAAUGAGAAGCCCAGCUUGCUGAUACAGAGUAGGGCACUGAAUGACAGCGUGUAAUGUUCCACUUUGGCCAGCCCAAGGGAGGGUGCAAGAUGAACAGAAUGUCAUUGCUUUUCAGAUUCCAGGAAAGACUUUAGUUGCCACAGAUAGCAGGGUAGUGGCCAUCAAAGUCAGAAUUUGCUGAGGAGUGUGCAACGCUUCAUCCUGUGGAUGUAGCCAACCCUGAAAGUGGAUGGCACUAAACUGUCAAACUCACACCUGACACUCUAGAGCAGUGAUGGUGA
rnacentral:ncRNA from 1 species